UUCUUCGUUCUUUCGUAUAUU
rnacentral:piRNA from 1 species